rnacentral:rRNA from 1 species
ACUGUUUACUUGAUCUUGAUUUUCCUACUUGGAUAACUGUGGUUAUUCUAGAGCUAAUACACGCAAUAAAGCUCGGACCUUACGGGACGAGCGCAUUUAUUAGACCAAAACCAAUCGGGCCUCGGCCUGAACGGUGGUGACUCUGAAUAACUGAGCUGAUCGCAUGGUCUUUGUACCGGCGACGCAUCUUUCAAGUGUCUGCCUUAUCAACUUUCGAUGGUAGUUUAUGUGCCUACCAUGGUUGUUACGGGUAACGGAGAAUAAGGGUUCGACUCCGGAGAGGGAGCCUGAGAAACGGAUACCACAUCCAAGGAAGGCAGCAGGCGCGCAAAUUACCCACUCUCGGCACGAGGAGGUAGUGACGAAAAAUAACGAGGCGGUUCUCUAAGAGGCCCGCUAUCGGAAUGGGUACAAUUUAAA